AUUGAACGCUGGCGGCAUGCUUUACACAUGCAAGUCGAACGGCAGCAUGGGUGCUUGCACCUGAUGGCGAGUGGCGAACGGGUGAGUAAUGUAUCGGAACAUAUCCGCAAGUGGGGGAUAACGUAGCGAAAGUUACGCUAAUACCGCAUAUUCCCUGAGGGGGAAAGGAGGGGAUCCGCAAGGACCUUUCGCUUACGGAGUGGCCGAUAUCAGAUUAGCUAGUUGGUGAGGUAAAGGCUCACCAAGGCGACGAUCUGUAGCGGGUCUGAGAGGAUGAUCCGCCACACUGGGACUGAGACACGGCCCAGACUCCUACGGGAGGCAGCAGUGGGGAAUUUUGGACAAUGGGCGCAAGCCUGAUCCAGCCAUGCCGCGUGAGUGAAGAAGGCCUUCGGGUUGUAAACUGCUUUUGUACGGAACGAAAAGGUUUGACUUAAUACGUUGGACUCAUGACGGUACCGUAAGAAUAAGCACCGGCUAACUACGUGCCAGCCGCCGCAGUAA
rnacentral:rRNA from 1 species